rnacentral:misc_RNA from 1 species
AAAAGUGUUUCAUCUUGUUCGAAUGAAGCAGGUUUUAUGGGCCAAUGAAGGAAACAAGGCCGGCGAUGAAAGUGUCAACUUGUUUCUCAAGUCUAUUGGGCUCAGAGAAUAUUCCAGAUACAUGAGUUUCAACCAUCCGUACAGUCAUGAAAGGCCUCUUCUUGGGCAUCUUAAAUUUUUUCCCUGGGUUGUGGAUGAAGGCUAUUUUAAGGCAUGGAGGCAAGGAAGGACUGGUUAUCCAUUAGUGGAUGCUGGUAUGAGGGAAUUGUGGGCUACGGGGUGGCUGCAUGAUCGGAUUCGAGUUGUAGUUUCUAGUUUCUUUGUGA